rnacentral:misc_RNA from 1 species
AUUGCGACCCGACCUGAGUGGAGCUCUUUUUGUGAAACGGAGUGGAACAAAAAAGCGGGAACGGAGGGCGGAUUAAGUC